GAUUCUUGGGUGGACCAACAAGGUCUUGUGCAGUAAGAUGAUUCUCAUGGUAAAGAUGCAAUGGCAGCAUCAUACCCCAGAAGAAGCAACGUGGGAGUUGGAAAGAGAGAUAAGGGAGAAGUAUCCGGACCGUUUGGAGACAAAUUUGGGGACUAAAUUUUUCUAAGGUGGGGGGAAUGUAACGCUCUACCCAUCAUUGUGCUUAAUUAAUUUGAAAAAUCCUAUUUAUUUGAGCCUUUAGGCCACAUUGAACUCAUUUAGUUUACUCUACAUAUUAUUUAUUGUAAUUCG
rnacentral:lncRNA from 1 species